rnacentral:lncRNA from 1 species
AAUUGUUUGAAAUGCACAUAUCAGCAUCUAAGAUGACCUUUAACAAUGGGAAUGACUUUAGUUCAUGUUGGAUUCUAUCAUAGAGACUCACCUAGAAACAAGCCUGCAGUAGAAUCAGAAGACUCAUCAGCUGUUCUCUAUUUUUUUUCCUAGCACCAAGGACAACAACGACAUCAGCAGCAACAACAACAACAACAAGGGCAACGUCAGCAGCAACAACGGCGACAACAACAAAAAGGGCAGUGUCAACAGCAAAUUCAGCAGCAACUACAGCAUCAGCUGCAACAACAAGAUCAAUGUCAACAACAGUAUCAGCAGCAACAAGAAGGGCAAUGUCAGCAGCAACAGCAACAGAGGCAGCAGCAACAACAAGGGCAUCGUCAUGGCAACAUCAACAGCGGCAACUGUUGUUGUUGUUGCUGCUGACGUUGUCCUUGUCGUUGCUGCUGCUAUCACUUUUGAUGUUGCUGCUGACAUUGCCCUUGUAGUUGUUGCUGCUGAUGCUGUUGCCGCUGUUGAUGUUGCUGCAGACUUUGCUUUUGUUGCUGAAUCAGAAAACUCACCACUUGUUCUCUAUAUUUUACUAGCAUCAAGGACAGCAACCACAUCAGCAGCCAGAACAACAAGGGCAACGUCAACAGCGACAUCAGCAGCAACUACAGCAUCAGCAGCAACAAGAAGGACAACGUCAACAUCAACAGGGGCAACUGUUGUUGCCCUGAAUUAUGGAAGCUGUCAUCUUCAAGACACAUACAUCACCCGCCUCACCAGAAAAGCUACCUGGAUUGUGAAAGACGCUAGCCAUCCCUCACAUAGCCUGUUCAGCGUCCUGCCUUCUGGGAGAAGGUAUAGGAGCCUCCGUGCCCGCUCCACCAGACUCACCAACAGCUUCAUCCACCAAGCUGUCAGGAAGCUGAACUCUCUCCCCUCUGUCACCUCAGUCAUAUCCACCAGCUGAAUCCCCCCCCCUCUCCCUCCCCCCCCCACCAAAAUAGCAACAAGACUGAAAAUGCUGUUAUUUAUUACUGUUUUACUGACUGCUCUUUGUACUAUCACUCUUGCACUACUACUGUAUAUGCAGAAUUUUUUUAUGCUGCCAAGACCGUUUUGCCUUUGCACUAUCAUAACAAACUAUAUAGGAACUCAUGCUGCUACUCCCACCUACACACUGUAUUUAUAUAUUAGUAUUAGUUUUAGUAUUUGGUAUUAGUAAAUGUUUUAUCUGUUGUAAAAAUUGUAUGUCUACCUUUAGUAUAGGAAUGUCUUUUCUGUUGUGCCUGAGCACUUUAUCUGUUCACCGUGGGAGGUGAGAAACGUCUUCUCGAUUCCCUUGUAUAUUUGUGCAUGCAAAGGAAUUGACAAUAAAGCUGACUUUGA